rnacentral:lncRNA from 10 species
UUGCUAGGAGAACUCACAGGACUCAGCAUAUACUCACAUGUGAGUCACAGGACUCACAUGGGCAUGAUUUAUUACAAUAAAAAGAUACAAAGCAAAAUCAACAAAGGAAAAAGUGCAUGGGUCAAAACCCAGAGGAAAACUAUGCACAAACUUCCACAAGUCCUCUCCCAGGACAGUCACACAGGAUGUGCUUAAUUUCUUAAUCAAUAAGUUUGUGAUAGGCAUGAAUUAUUUUCUACUAAAAAAACUCCUAGCAGGGUGGAAAACAACUCUUUCUUAUGUCUAAGUUCUGAACCAGAAAUAGUUGGUGAAAAACACUAUGAUAUUGGUUAUUAUUUUACUGUGGAGUAAAACAAAAUUAAAUAGACAUAAUUAAAUUUGAUCUUACAUAGUAAGUAAAUAUGCAUAGUUAUGUUUUCACAAUUUAGACAAAAAAGGCCUAUAAUCCUUACAUUUUUCACAUUAUCUCCUAAGAUAAUUUUUUGAGGUUUUUUUGUUUUGAUUUUUCUGCAAUGUCUACCUCUCAAGAUUUCAGCCGGAAUUAAAUUAUCUAUGGAAAUGGUAAUUUUUUCUACCCAUCAAUAUUAUUUUCCUUGAGAAGUCAGAGAUAAAUGCCAUCUGGACAUAGCAUUUUAUCAUUAGAUGUUUUACUUUCUUGAUCAUCUGUUCUGCCAAGAUACAGUUUUUCUUCAGUGUUUAUUUUUCCUACCUGAGAACUGUUUAUUGCUGGCAUUUGUUCCUCUUCCUUUCUCUGUUAACACAGAAGCAAGAAGAGCUUUGGAUGUUUUGGCAAUGUGUCCAUCUGCCAUGUAUCCAUCACCGUUGCCAUAUUUUGUAGCUAGGAUCUCUGCAAAGCAGUGAGGCACAGAGCAAUACACUGACUGGAGCUGGGUUCAAACCAAAAAGUCCUGCUCUGUAUUGGGGAAAAUGGUGCAGUGAUUGACAUCUGGACCUGCUUUGACAGGCUCUUCUCUGCAAAUGAAAGUCUUAGAAUGGACAAAUUUGCUGCUGACAUGUGCACUCCAGUUCACCUUUAAGUAUGGUGAGACUUGACAUUGCUUGAGCUUUCUUGUUCAGGCUCAGUCUUGGUUUCCAUUUUUACAUAUGCAGGGCUUAUCAUGUUUAGAUUUUCACUUCAUUGCACACUUGCCUCAUUUCAGAUAUCUUUCUUCCUGCCUCUUGUAAAAAUGUUGAAAUUCUCAUUUGUGCUGUUAACAUUUUCUCAUUUGGAAAUUUGUCACUUCCAGUCCAGCAUUUUCCUACCAUUACAUAAAGAGAUGGUGAUCACUGGCUUUGUGAUUUCUUUAAUAUAAUUUAUUGUAUCAUACUUUUCCUUUUGUCUUGUGUCUUUCUUCCAACAUUAUUUGGUUUCCCAUUUCUCAUCAGAGCAAAACACGAUUCUUUUAAUUUUUAGCUCCUUUUAAAAAGAUGCAUUUAAACUAAUUUGUGAGAAAUUUGAAAAUGAUUCACAAUAUAAAAUACAUUAAUUCUGAUUUAUAAAAUAAUCUAGUGUUUGUUCAUUGCUGUGUAUCCAAAUCAAUUUUUGUAUAUUUAUGCACACACAUAUAUGUGUGCAAGUUUGUGUGUGCAUGCACAUAUAUCUUGUAUAUUUGUGUAUUUCUAUAUCUGUUUUGCCCCUUCAUUAGAAAGUGUUCAUUGUAAACAAAGCCCCCAUCACAGCUCAUUCUACUCUGACCUUCAUGACUUAGUUAAAACACUGAAUGUUGAAGGAAACCGUGCCCCCAACUCGACUGCCUGCAAACUGGAUUACUUCUGUUGUUGCAAGAACUCAUGAAAAUGUCCUUCCUCAAACUGGGCAUUGCAGAGUUCAGCCGUUCAGAGGAAUGUGUGGUAGAACAUAUUGUGAACACAGAGGCAUGAUAGGGCCAAGCCUGAACGAUGUGGAGCACAGAAGGCCCUGGAAUACCAGGCCCCACAACCAAUGCUGAGCUCAUCACCCAAGAAAGCAAUAAAUUAAUCAUGUCCAAAGUACACUGUGUUUCUGUUUUUAUGUGUGAAAAUGAGAAACUUGGGAAUAAAAGUAAAUUUUUUGACAUACUGAUCUCCUGAAAGCAAUU